UGCGUAGGCGGAAGAAUAAGUCAGUGGUGAAAUCCUGCAGCUCAACUGUAGAACUGCCAUUGAAACCAUUUUUCUUGAGUAUAGUUGAGGUGGGCGGAAUGUGUCAUGUAGCGGUGAAAUGCUUAGAUAUGACACAGAACACCGAUUGCGUAGGCAGCUCACUAAACUAUCACUGACGCUGAGGCACGAAAGCGUGGGGAGCGAACAGGAUUAGAUACCCUGGUAGUCC
rnacentral:rRNA from 1 species